rnacentral:siRNA from 1 species
UGCCAAAAGUGGUGAAACAAAGC